rnacentral:lncRNA from 1 species
AAUUGAGCUAUAUCUGUGACUCACUAUGUGCAAAUUAGUAUUCCACAUCUCCAGGCCUGCCCUGGCGGAAGAUUCCCUUAAAGCAUACCUCUGUACACACAGUAAUUUUGUGCUUUGGCAUUGACGGUGAUCCUUGGCUAACUCCAAAGAAAGCCAAGUUUGCAGGCAGCCUAACUUUAGGAAGGAAGAAGACAACAAGACUGGAUACUAUAAAGACUGUGUAAAGUUUCAGUAAAUGUCAACUUCAGGUGAGCGUGGGAGCUAACGGGGAGGUGGCAGAGAAUAUUAAUGAAAUGAAAUAAGAGCGCUACAGAAGAUUUUCUUACCAGUUGUCCCCCCAUUUGUGUAUGAAAUUUGCAGAUGCACACAGCAAUAUUGCAAUCUAAUCCCUUGGCAGCUGAAAAGGUACUUUCAGGGGACUUUUCCCUUUUCUGCAGGCUGUGACGCCUGAACACUCUCGCGGACCCAUCGGAGAGUCACCCGGGAUGCUCUCUGAGGCUGAAGAAUGAAUAGCCCUGCUGACCCCAGCAGUCUUCAGCCACCACCUCUGUGGGAAAGGACACCGCCCGGCGCGCCCCCUGGGCUGGAGGUGCCAGGCCCGUGCGAGUGUUCGCGCUCCCACCAUCUCUACCGGUCCAGGCACAAGCAACAGCUGUGCCUGCCAGCAGGACAGGGCUCUGUACUGUUUUGCCUUUGUGAAGGCUGGAGUAACAAUGUAUGACUAUUGCCUCCUGGGACCUGUAUGAAAAUAAAAGAUAGAUUGCUGGUUCA